rnacentral:rRNA from 1 species
CAGUAGCCACGGUAAUACAGAGGGUGCGAGCGUUAAUCGGAUUUACUGGGCGUAAAGCGUGCGUAGGCGGCUUUUUAAGUCGGAUGUGAAAUCCCUGAGCUUAACUUAGGAAUUGCAUUCGAUACUGGGAAGCUAGAGUAUGGGAGAGGAUGGUAGAAUUCCAGGUGUAGCGGUGAAAUGCGUAGAGAUCUGGAGGAAUACCGAUGGCGAAGGCAGCCAUCUGGCCUAAUACUGACGCUGAGGUACGAAAGCAUGGGGAGCAAACAGGAUUAGAGACCCCCGUAGUCCCUGUCUCUUAUAC